rnacentral:rRNA from 1 species
UACGAAGGGGGCUAGCGUUGCCCGGAAUCACUGGGCGUAAAGCGCACGUAGGCGGCUUUUUAAGUCAGGGGUGAAAUCCUGGAGCUCAACUCCAGAACUGCCUUUGAUACUGAGAGCUUGAGUCCGGGAGAGGUGAGUGGAACUGCGAGUGUAGAGGUGAAAUUCGUAGAUAUUCGCAAGAACACCAGUGGCGAAGGCGGCUCACUGGCCCGGUACUGACGCUGAGGUGCGAAAGCGUGGGGAGCAAACAGG